rnacentral:tRNA from 1 species
AAUCUUGUGGUGAAAUUUUCAUACUAGGCUGCAGUCCUAUAGAUACAGAUAAUCUGUCAAGAUUU